rnacentral:lncRNA from 1 species
CAGAGAAGCGCCUCGUUUGCAUGAGACCAGGCGUGUUUGUGCUCCUAAGCAAAGUAACGUAGUAUUCAUAUUUUAUGUGUCCUCAUAGCUCAAUAUGUGAUUUCUUUGUCUAGUUUCUCGCCCACUCCAUCUAUUAAUAACUGCAAAGCUAAUAGUUUACAGGUUGGCCUGUUUGCAAGGCACAGUCAAUCUUGCAGGUAUGAGCAUUUUUGGGGGGAUAUAGCCUAGGUUUUAAUUUUGUGAAGCAUUAACCAUGCAUAGAUUUAAAUGAAUACUUCACAAGAAAGGUAAUGUGACUUUAAAAUUCCUCAAGAAUGUGUCUAGGUACUUUGUAUCAACGAGAAAAAGAAAAUAGAACAUUCACAGGUAUUUGCUUUCAAGAAAACAUGAGAUUUGUUUAUGAUAUAAAUCUAGACUGGAGUGGAUUACAUUAUUUAAUCGUUAUGCCUUACUCCUAAUCAAACAGUUAUGCCCUAUAUCUAAUUGUAUUGGUUUAUUUCAGAAUUAUUUACAAAGGUAUAUUUUGUGUUUUGUUUUUUUUGUGGUUUUUUUUUUUUUGUGAUUUACGUUUAAAUUACAAAAUGGCGACUAUAAUGGUUAACUGGGGAGGGGUAGGAAAUCUCCAACCUGCAUUUUGCUUGUUUUUUCUUUUGCUAAACUUUUGAGUAGUGAAUAACCCUGUGUGCUUUUCUGCAGUGGUAUAGGAAAUGAUGACUAUGUGGUUAAAGGAUUACUGAAACAACAACAAAAUUUUCAUAAAACACUGAUUUUUGUGGUUACAGUAAUCAUUGCUGUGCAGUGGAGUCUCUAGGAUUCACUUUUAGGGGGGCGCAUGGUGGCCCAGGGACAAAAGUAACAAAUGUGUAUUUUUUUUUUUUUUUAAAUAAUCCCUGGUGGACAAUUCAUUCUCUUCCACCAAGGAUUAUUAAAAAACAAGACACAUUUCCCUUGAUACAGUCCAUCCACACACACACUGCGGAGUCCAUCCACACCCACACACGCUGCUGAGUCCAUCUACACACACAAGCAUAUCAAGCCUACCUGUUGCUGGGGGUCACAGCCAUCUUCUUGCCUUUCCAGCAGCAGCAUGUGCUGCUGCUUAACGGCAGGGCCGGGGUUUAUGUGCGGGGCUUAAUUUGGGGGCAGAUCCUGUGCCGGAGAAGCUGCUGAAAACACCCAGCAGCGUUCUAGCACCUGUUGCAUUCCCUUGGGCUGUCGCACAGUUACAGCCUAAGGGAAUAUAAUUUAAACACAUGGCCAGCAGAUUGCGGGCAUUUGGGGGAGCCCAAGGGAGGCACAGCAUGAUGUGGGGGGGGGGGGGCAUGGCCCCCCUCUGACUCCCACCUUAGCGACGCCACUGUUGCUGUGCUGGUCUGUCUCUUAUCAAAUGACUAGGUACCUUGCUAGAAAGGAGUGCUAAUUUGUAAUAUGGUUGCUCACUAAAACCUGAAUUGCAAGGAAUAAGUCUAAAUUUUAGACUAAAUAUCCAAACUGAAAACAUAAGUUACCUGAAGAAUUUUGCCAGGCUGGCUAAUUAUGCCAUAAAAUCCCAAGGCUUAAUGAAUAGGUGACUGUGCACACAUUGGUGAAUAAACCUGUAAGAGUUUGGUUGCUAAUUGAGUGUAUGCACUAAACUGUGAAUUGUGCUAAAAAGAACACUAUAGGCAACUAGACCUCUUCAUCUUAUUGAAGUUGUCUGGGUGGUGCAGUGUCUGUGUCCCACUUACUCCUGCAAUGUAAAUCAUUGCAAGUUUUGAGAAACUGCAAUGAUUACUUUUCUGGAGUAACAUUUCCUCCAGUGGCUAUCAGGCAAGUCCGGGGAUUCUAAGGAACUCUGAAUCUAAGGGUUCUCUUAAAUAAAGCUGGAUGUCCUCACGCUCUGCAUUAGUGAUUUCGCCAUGGGGAAGCAUUGAGUUAAUACUUUUUUUUUUUUUUUCAGGGGAGGGCCUAAUGCAUUAGCUGCAUAUGUGCAUUAGGUCCCCUUUUGUUUGUCAUCGAAGGAGGUGUAGCACUGACCCAGCAUCUAGUACCAUGAAUACAAUGAUUCUCUAUUGCAGACUGUGAUGUCACUGCGUAUGCAGCUCAUGUCCUGUUAUUAGAGCUAGUCCUGACUUUCAUAACCAGAGAAGGAGGGCUUUAAAACAGUGUCCGUAAGCCAUGAAUGCAAGCCUUCUAACUAUUAGAAAUAAGGAUUUGGCGGAGGUGAUAAAGUGUCAGUGUGAAGUAAUCAAGAGUUCAGGUACUUAAGAGUCAUGCUAUAAAAGUAGAAAAAGACUAGAAUUUGGGGAAAUGUAGUUGAAAGUGGAGUUGGGAAUUAAGUUAAAACAGAGGGUAAAACUAAGUGUUACUCAUUACAGUAAGAAUUUAUUCUAGUAGUUUAAAAUUUAAGGUCAUAAUAGCCAAAACAAAAAACAAUCAAAUCCUAUUCUUCCACUUUGGUCAUGCACUCUGUCUGGCCUUCACUUUGAAUUUCUUUUUUUUCGUUUAGUAAAUAACUCCGUAGGCUUUAACAAAUUUAUGUGCACACUGUGAUCAAGGUUAAGCAAGCAGGGAAGGUGGUCCAGAGCAAACACCUGAUGUAUAUUGAUUAUUUUUCUUUAUCUGCCAUAAAUGAAAUCACAAUAUUAUGAGUAAAUUAAAUUGAUAAAUGUUAAAGAAAAUCUUAAGUGCUGUAUUGAAAGUGUGACUGCAAGCAGAGUAUGUAUUACAUCUAAAAUAACACAUUUUAUGUAAUUGUGUUUUUCAACUUAAAUAAAUAUUGAUGCCGAUGUGUAAAAUUUUUACUGUAAUAAAAUUCUUUAUUAAAUUCGGUCUUUCUUUUUCCUAGAAACUAAUACUUUUAAUCUUAGUGUUGUUAAAGGGACUGUUUAAAAUAAGCUUAUUUUAUUGGUUAUAAAAUGAAACUAUUGCAGUCAUGGCUUUCACAUCUGUAAAGAAAUGAUGGGUAACGGUAAUUCUUAAAGUGCCUCAGUUAAUUCCUGACGGCAGCAAUUAUUUUGUGGUGCUCAAAUUUGGAUUGGAAGCAGUGCAUUAAAAUAAAUUUGCAUUGGGAUAAGGACAAAUUUAGUAUCUUCACUUGGACUCUCAGCUUGAACACUUCACAUCUACAUGCACACCCUCUGUUUGCAUUUAAUCCUGUGCCUCUCUGAUGACUUUGUCUAUUGAUGCAGAUUUAAAGGAUUCAUUACUGGUGACAUCAGGCUAUUCUUCACAUUUAGCCAACACAUGCUGAGGAUGAAGUUAAUGGAAUUUUGUUUGGAAUUGGGUAUCUGCUGUAGGUAAGUACUCUCUGGAUUAUUAUUAGUCACUUAUAAAGUGCCAAUAAAUUCCAUGCAGUGCAAUUGGUGGUAAAUUGUGAGCCGAGAGGUAUAUUAACAAACAUGAGUGUGUGUCCCUAAAAUGUCGCACUCUAACAAUAGAUGUAUAGAUUAUAUACAGGGUCAGUGCUACACUAUUUUGUGCCCCAGGCAAGACCAGCUACUGGUACCCAACCAUAAAACAAAAAUGGCCAACUUUGUGUGUAUAAUGUUUUUCUUCCCUAGCCCAUUUGUGUCUUUCUCAUCCAGUCCUUUUUAUGUCUCACCCCCAGCCUCUUUGUAGGUCUAUUUUUUUUUUCCCUUCUCAAUACCCUCUGAGUGUCUCUGAUGUGUCCCCUUUCACAGCCUCUGUAUGUCAUUGUCCCCAAACCCUCUGUAUGUUUCUUUGCCAUCUCCUCAGUCCUCUGUUUCCUUGUCUCCCCAACCACCUCUGUCUGUCUUCUCUUCCCAUUUGUGUCCCUGUUUCCCAGCCCCCCUGUUUGUCUAAUCCCCUUAGCAGCUCUGUCUGCCUCUCCCUCCCCCACUCUUUGAUCUCUGUAUAUUUGUCCAUGGCUACCCUUCCUUGUGCCUCUGUCCCCCACCAGCCCUCUGUGUGCCUCCUUGUAUGCCAUCGCCAGCCCCCUCCCACCCCACAUCUCCCUUUGUCCUCUUCUCCACGUCUCCCCUUCUCCUCUGCUAUGCCAGAUGACCACUCCAUGUUGCGUGGCCUAGUGCAUCAAGGUAGAAGAUAUUCUUUCAGCAAGCACUUCCUGUUACCCAGGGAAGCUAACACAAAAGAUCCUCUACUCUUGGUUAGUCUGACAAGCUAUGCUACAGGCAGUGACCUGCAGGUGAGAGCCCUGUGCAGGGAGCUUUCCCUGCUGCUGAUCACCUAAAAAUUGCACCCCUCCUGUAGGCCUGUCUUCCUUAGUUGCUGCAAAAAUCACCUAGCUUUAUCUCUAGCUUUGUCCCUGUACGCGAUAACAAGUACUAGAAUCCAGGUAAAUGCAGCUACUUCCCAACCUUUACAAAUCUUAAAAAGGACCAAACAAGGUGGACCUCUGGCCUUUACUGUUUACCUCACUCUAGCCAUUUCUGGAAGUUAUGUGAUGAGGGUAUAAUAUGUUUUCUGAGAUCACAAAAUCCUGGCAGCAGAAUCAUGGUUAUGCAAAGAUAUUUUUUUUCUAAUUGAGUUCAGUAGGGGUACUUGAGCUUCUUUCUCUGGACAGGUAGUGGGAGGGUACUUCAAGUAGUCUUGGUCAUUUAGGGUAAAUCCAAAUUUAACCGUUUCUGCAGUAGUACUCUCCACUCCAGGGGAAAUAUAACAUACAGAGUGAUUUUUAACAUAAUUUGAAAAACAAUGGAAAAAAAACUGAGUGCUGCUGAUGUGGGUUGUUAGUAACAACUACGAGCCUGCACAUCUGGUGGUAAUGCUUGCUGGAAAGAGGUACCCACGGCUUUCACAAGGUUCACGGACACAUCCCCUUCCUAUAUUACACCAUAUCACAAUGCAUUUCAAUAUGGGUUUGUAAGAAAUCUCUUAAGCAUUUGUUUACAUCAGCAGAAAAGCCUUUAUUCAUAUUCUGUGAAUGAAGCAAUGUACACUCACUCUCCAGGAGUGGAUGGAUAGAGUAGAUCUCUCUCCUUGCUCAUCCAGGAUUGAAGAGACCACUUCCUCUCCCCACCCACCCCUUAUUUUUUUUUCUUUCUUUGUGCAUGAAGUGGUAAAAAACAUUUUGAAUUUAUUUUAUUAAUGAUAAAGCUAAAUUGAAAACUCAUUCCUGCUUGUAUUGUCUGAUGACUACUGCAAAAGUCAUUUUCAUAUGCAAUCUCAUUGCUAAAAUAAAGAUUUUACAAAAAAGGAUGUUUUUAGAAAAUGUAAUCCAUACGCUGAAGUCAUUCUCUGACUGGAGAAGAGGAAGAGGCCAGUGCCCAGCAGGUAUUGGUAAGUUGUUAAAUGGCAGUCUCAUUUAUAAAGAUGUCUACAGUUUCCUCUUACUGAAUUUUAUUGUAUAGUUAAGAGAACAUGACGUGGCUAAUAUGUUUAUAUUGUCAACGUCAAAAAGUGGGAUGUUUAAAGAAACAAACAAAAAUCAUGAAAUGCUAUUUGUUAACUGAUAUAUUUCAAUAUAUUCUUUGUCUUAACAAUGUUGUAUUGCAUAUAUUUCUAAAAAAUAAUAAAAAAUUUCAAUAAAUAGUUGAAAAGAAAUACAUUGGAUAUAUCUAGCACUAUAAGAAUCCCCAAAAUGUCUCACUCUAAAAAUAGAUAUAUUUUGGGUCCUAUGAAAUUGCUAUUUGGCUUUUAUUUCUCUUUUUCACCUCCAAACAGGUUAAACCUUGUGAUAUCUUUCAAUAUGAAUGCUUCGAAAAUAUCGUUCAAAUGGCCCAGGGAAUAUUGCACAAUGUACCAAAAAUACGUGCUUUACCAAAAUUGUGUAUGUGGAAAGAAAGUCAUAUUAACUUCGCAUGAAGCUUAAAUUAACACUUUAGAGACAAGUGGUUUUUGGCUGCUCAUGUGCUUUAUGUCACUGGAGUUUGCAUUUUUUGCAAUAAUUUG